UAAGGAAUAUUGGACAAUGGUCGCAAGACUGAUCCAGCCAUGCCGCGUGCAGGAAGACGGCCCUAUGGGUUGUAAACUGCUUUUGUACCAGAGAAAACCUAUCUACGUGUAGAUAGCUGAUAGUAUGGUAAGAAUAAGCAUCGGCUAACUUCGUGCCAGCAGCCGCGGUAAGACGAAGGAUGCAAGCGUUAUCCGGAUUCAUUGGGUUUAAAGGGUGCGUAGGCGGGCUUGUAAGUCAGUGGUGAAAUCUCACAGCUUAACUGAGAAACUGCCAUUGAUACUGCAGGCCUAGAGUAUGGAUGACGUCGGCGGAAUAUGACAUGUAGUGGUGAAAUACUUAGAUAUGUCAUAGAACACCGAUUGCGAAGGCAGCUAACGAAACUAUAACUGACGCUGAGGCACGAAAGUGCGGGGAUCAAACA
rnacentral:rRNA from 1 species